UUUGGUGCUCGUGAUGACUUGAGGCUUUUUUUUCCCCCAUCAGAGCGGAAAUGUUGAAUUCUUUGCUAUUAGCCAGAACUUGUCUGGCUUGCACCAAU
rnacentral:snoRNA from 1 species